rnacentral:rRNA from 1 species
UACGGAGGGUGCAAGCGUUAAUCGGAAUUACUGGGCGUAAAGCGUGCGUAGGUGGUUCGUUAAGUCCGUUGUGAAAGCCCCGAGCUCAACUUGGGAAUUGCAGUGGAUACUGGCGAGCUAGAGUGCGGUAGAGGAAGGUGGAAUUCCCGGUGUAGCGGUGAAAUGCGUAGAGAUCGGGAGGAACAUCAGUGGCGAAGGCGGCCAUCUGGGACAACACUGACGCUGAAGCACGAAAGCGUGGGGAGCAAACAGG